AGUUAUUAGCCCCACCCCUCACCACCAUGCCUUCAUGGUGGCAGCUCUCCUCUGCUGGGCAGCCUAGCCAUCACUGCAUACCUAUCACUCAGCAAUAAUCAAAACACUGGCCCAAGACAAUUUCUCUUCACUCACUGAGCCUCAAAAGGCAGUUCAAAAGGUUGGACACCCAUGCACAAGUGUCUUAGAACUUGAAUACUAUCAGGUGAAAAACAGAGAAUUGCUGGGGACAUUCAAAAACAGAGGAGACAAUGGUCAGAAACAGAACCUAGAAGCACGUUUCCAGUAAUGUUAGUAUAAUCUAGUAGCAGACAAGGAUAAAGUGGAGGUCUCUUGCACUCUGAACAAACAUAAACCUUCUACCUGGAGAGAGAAGGAAAACAUGCAAAACAAUAAAGGUAACUAGAAAUUACAAAUAUUUUUUAAUUUGAAAUACUUUAUUGGGGAAAGACAAAAGAACUUCAUUCUUUGGUCAUGAGAGUGAAUAAACAAGGAAAUACAUUGCUACCUGAGCUCUAGAUGAUAAAUAAAGAACACUUAGAAAUUUACACUGCAUUUUUUUUUCCAUAAUGGUUUUGCAUGUCACGCAAAGAAGAGGAAGAGAUGAAAAAAAUGAAUCAAAACAGUGAGAAAGUGAAAGAAAUCAACUACAGCUUUUACAGAAGAGUGAGGAUGAAAGCAGAAGCAAGGCAGCUAAGGGACUAUGAGAAUGCUGUAGGAACAGAGAAGACUCUUUUCAAAGAUCAAAUUUCAUUUUGAGAAGAUCAAGCAGCAUCACAGACCUGAUGACUACCUCCUGGAUCCCCGUCUUUUCUCCACUCUCAGAUUUGCUGAAUAAGUGGGACAGUUUUUCCCAUGACUCACAAAUCCUUCAUAAAGGCUUCUCUAUGCUCUCAUAGAUUAUUUCAUACAGUUUCUACCACCUUAGUAAUAAAACUACUUUUUUUUUUUUUUCAAUUCAGAAACUUUGGUAUCAUAGUAUUUUCUAGAAAGGAAAUGCUGUAAGAGAAAGAAAAAGAAAGGAAGAAAGGAAGCAAGGAAGUCCUUCAUAUCAAUGAAACACAUGCUGGUUAAGCUGUGAAAUACAUCUGUUAUACAAUUU
rnacentral:lncRNA from 1 species